UACGUAGGGUGCGAGCGUUGUCCGGAAUUACUGGGCGUAAAGAGCUCGUAGGCGGCUUGUCGCGUUGUUCGUGAAAAUUUACCGCUCAACGGUGAACUUGCGGGCGAUACGGGCAGGCUAGAGUACUGCAGGGGAGACUGGAAUUCCUGGUGUAGCGGUGAAAUGCGCAGAUAUCAGGAGGAACACCAAUGGCGAAGGCAGCACUCUGGGACGUGACUGACGCUGAGACGCGAAAGCGUGGGGAGCAAACAGG
rnacentral:rRNA from 1 species